CCUACGGGUGGCUGCAGUGGGGGAUAUUGGUCAAUGGGCGAAACCCUGAACCAGCAACGCCGCGUGAGGGAAGACGGCCUUCGGGUUGUAAACCUAAGUUAUCAGGGAUGCAACAAAUGACAGUACCUGAAAAGCAAGCUCCGGCUAACUACGUGCCAGAAGCCGCGGUAAUACGUAGGGAGCACUCGGUGUCCGGAUUUACUGGUUGUAAAGGGUGCGUAGGCGGGAACACAAGUCAGGCGUUAAAUACCGGGGCUCAACUCCGGGGCUGCGCUUGAAACUGUGUUUCUUGAGAGAAGUAGAGGCAGGCGGAAUUCCUAGUGUAGCGGUGGAAUGCGUAGAUAUUAGGAGGAACACCAGUUGCGAAGGCGGCCUGCUGGGCUUUAACUGACGCUGAGGCACGAAAGCAUGGGGAGCAAACAGGAUUAGAUACCCGGGUAGUC
rnacentral:rRNA from 1 species